rnacentral:pre_miRNA from 1 species
GUUGUACUCCUUCCGUUCCAUAAUUCUUGUCGAAAUCUUACAUGUAUCUCGACAUCUUUUAGAAAUAUAUACAUCCAUUUUUAAACAAAUUUGAGACAAGAAUUAUGAAACGGAUGGAGUAUAUC